UAUUAAACUUCAAUCGCCGUGGGACCCCGUGGGAUUUUUGGCGAACGGGUGAGUAACACGUGAGUAACCUGCCCCUGACUUCGGGAUAAGCCCGGGAAACUGGGUCUAAUACCGGAUAUGACUUCCUGCUGCAUGGCAGGGGGUGGAAAGAUUUAUCGGUUGGGGAUGGACUCGCGGCCUAUCAGCUUGUUGGUGAGGUAAUGGCUCACCAAGGCGACGACGGGUAGCCGGCCUGAGAGGGUGACCGGCCACACUGGGACUGAGACACGGCCCAGACUCCUACGGGAGGCAGCAGUGGGGAAUAUUGCACAAUGGGCGAAAGCCUGAUGCAGCGACGCCGCGUGAGGGAUGACGGCCUUCGGGUUGUAAACCUCUUUCAGUAGGGAAGAAGCCCCUUUUUGGGGUGACGGUACUUGCAGAAGAAGCGCCGGCUAACUACGUGCCAGCAGCCGCGGUAAUACGUAGGGCGCAAGCGUUAUCCGGAAUUAUUGGGCGUAAAGAGCUCGUAGGCGGUUUGUCGCGUCUGCCGUGAAAGUCCGAGGCUCAACCUCGGAUCUGCGGUGGGUACGGGCAGACUAGAGUGAUGUAGGGGAGACUGGAAUUCCUGGUGUAGCGGUGAAAUGCGCAGAUAUCAGGAGGAACACCGAUGGCGAAGGCAGGUCUCUGGGCAUUUACUGACGCUGAGGAGCGAAAGCAUGGGGAGCGAACAGGAUUAGAUACCCUGGUAGUCCAUGCCGUAAACGUUGGGCACUAGGUGUGGGGGACAUUCCACGUUUUCCGCGCCGUAGCUAACGCAUUAAGUGCCCCGCCUGGGGAGUACGGCCGCAAGGCUAAAACUCAAAGGAAUUGACGGGGGCCCGCACAAGCGGCGGAGCAUGCGGAUUAAUUCGAUGCAACGCGAAGAACCUUACCAAGGCUUGACAUGUUCCAGACCGGGCCAGAGAUGGUCUUUCCCCUUUUGGGGCUGGUUCACAGGUGGUGCAUGUUGUCGUCAGCUCGU
rnacentral:rRNA from 2 species